rnacentral:rRNA from 1 species
GACGAACGCUGGCGGCGUGCUUAACACAUGCAAGUCGAGCGGAGCGGCGAACGGGUGAGUAACGCGUGAGUACCUGCCCCCCUCUCUGGGAUAACAGUUGGAACCGGCUGCUAAUACCGGAUCGUUGGGGAUGACUCGCGUCCUCUCGGCUUGUUGGUGGGGUAGUGGCCUACCCAGGCGACGACGGGGAGCCGGCCUGAGAGGGCGACCGGCCACAGUGGGCUGAGAUACGGGCCAAACUCCGACGGGAGGCAGCAGUGGGGAAUAGUGCACAAGGGGGGAAACCCUGAUGCAGCAACGCCGCGUGCGGGAUGACGGCCGUCGGGUUGUAAACCGCUUUCAGCCAUGACGCGGUAGUGGCAGAAGAAGCACCGGCUAACUACGUGCCAGCAGCCGCGGUAAUUC